GUGACUAUAGCUCAACUGGUUAGAGUUCCUGUUUGUGGAACAGGAGGUUGCGGGUUCGAAUCCCGUUAGUCACC
rnacentral:tRNA from 1 species